AACGAACGCUGGCGGCAGGCCUAACACAUGCAAGUCGAACGCCCUAGCAAUAGGGAGUGGCAGACGGGUGAGUAACACGUGGGAACCUUCCCUAUAGUACGGAAUAGCUCAGGGAAACUUGGAGUAAUACCGUAUACGCCCGAGAGGGGAAAGAUUUAUCGCUAUAGGAUGGGCCCGCGUCGGAUUAGCUAGUUGGUGAGGUAACGGCUCACCAAGGCAACGAUCCGUAGCUGGUUUGAGAGAAUGACCAGCCACACUGGGACUGAGACACGGCCCAGACUCCUACGGGAGGCAGCAGUGGGGAAUCUUGGACAAUGGGCGCAAGCCUGAUCCAGCCAUGCCGCGUGAGUGAUGAAGGCCCUAGGGUUGUAAAGCUCUUUUGUCGGGGACGAUAAUGACGGUACCCGAAGAAUAAGCUCCGGCUAACUUCGUGCCAGCAGCCGCAGUAA
rnacentral:rRNA from 1 species